GACGAACGCUGGCGGCGUGCUUAACACAUGCAAGUCGAACGGAAAGGCCCUGCUUUUGUGGGGUGCUCGAGUGGCGAACGGGUGAGUAACACGUGAGUAACCUGCCCUUGACUUUGGGAUAACUUCAGGAAACUGGGGCUAAUACCGGAUAGGAGCUCCUGCUGCAUGGUGGGGGUUGGAUAGUUUCGGCGGUUGGGGAUGGACUCGCGGCUUAUCAGCUUGUUGGUGGGGUAGUGGCUUACCAAGGCUUUGACGGGUAGCCGGCCUGGGAGGGUGACCGGCCACAUUGGGACUGGGAUACGGCCCAGACUCCUACGGGAGGCAGCAGUGGGGAAUAUUGCACAAUGGGCGGAAGCCUGAUGCAGCAACGCCGCGUGCGGGAUGACGGCCUUCGGGUUGUGAACCGCUUUCGCCUGUGACGAAGCGUGAGUGACGGUAAUGGGUAAAGAAGCACCGGCUAACUACGUG
rnacentral:rRNA from 1 species